UAAAUUCUAGUGCGAGUAAUCGAUAGCUGCAAUCAAUUGUUUUCGACAGAAAAGUUUCGAGCAAUCGGAAAGAAUGAAGUUCGAUCGAUUAUUGAAACUCGAAUCGAACUCGCAUUCGAUUUGACUUCGAUAUGCUCGCACUAGUGACGCCAUAUUGUAGACAGGGGUUCACGGAUCUCGAGCCGCACACAACUGAGAAUCGCGUAUACAUGUACUGCGCGAAGCGUUCUGCGGGAUCCGUGGACCCCAGUGAAUCCCGAACAAAGCUAUAAAUCAAUAUAUGUACAUCCUGUUCGAUUUUCUAUUAAUAAUUUAAAUAUUUAGAAAAUUUGUAGUUUUGUAUUUGAUAAGAAUUGCUUUCGACGGACUUGUUUUGCUGAUUUUAGUUGAAGAAUAUUAAUUUUUUUUUCAGAUUUCAAAUAGAAGAUUAGAGAUUGCAUUAGUAGCAAGGUAACAGAAGCUCGUUGCACACACAUCGAGGAAAGAUUAAUGUGUAUACGGUUAUCAAGUGCUUACGAUAUCACGAAGUUCACCACGACACAGCAAUGCGGCACAUACACGUGUAUUAUUACGCCAGGUGUGUUUACCAUUCAAUUGUCCAAUUAAUCCGGAAAUGUUCACAUCCUUCUGCAUCCAAAAACAGUUACCUGGGGGACAAUCUGCGGAUCCUCGCUUUAAUUAAACCCGUGAGACGCGAAGAUAUCUUCUCGAAUAACUCGCGCCACUCGGAAAGAUUAUACCUCGCGGGCGUAUAUAUCGACAACGCGCUGCGAAAGGAAGACGGGCGUCUCGCAAGGAGGAAGACAAUGCCGGGAGGAGCCGCGGUGGGACGGCGAGAGAUAAAAAGAAAGUGGAAAAUGAGACGGGCGAGUUCUGAAAGUGGAACGGGGCUGUGCGCCAGUGUGGGAGAUAAGAGCGCGGACCGAAGAAUGCACCGGCUCUCCAGUCCGCGGCGUGAUUUGUAUCUCCUUCGUCCGUGGAGUCCGGAGUCUGCGCCGCCUGGUAGGUGCGCCCCUGACUGUGUCGGCUCU